UGGUUAUUAAGAAACAACAAUAAAAUGGAAAAUCCUGUUUAUAACAUGCCCAACAGGAAACUGGGAUCAUUGUGAUGAGGGGCACAGAACUUGUGGCCUCUCUAUCAACAAAUUCCCUACAUGU
ensembl:snoRNA